AGAGAGAGAGGGUGUGUAAAAAACAGCAUUAUAUUACUUGAUUAGUGAGAAUCAGUGCUAACUCCAUCUCAUCUGGCAUCUGCUGAGCUGUUCUUUGCUAUGCUCUCUCUUCUCUACACUACUAUAUAACACCCUCUAUCAACUCUUAGGGUAUCACAACCGAACCGAUCCAAGUUGAUUUUCAUCGAAGGUUGUUAAAUGCUUAUAUUACAUUUAUUUGUAAAUUAAUAUUUGAAUGUUGAUGCAUGGAUACUGAAAAUUAAUUUAUUGUAGCGUUGUGAAGAUGGAGAAGAGAGCGAGAAACGCCGCAUGUGGCAACGCCACCAACUCUGUCUCUACUUUUUCAACAAUAAUUAAUUAAUUAAUUAGGAUGAAAAAAUAAUAAAAUAAAUAAGACAUAAUUUUGAUGAAUUAAUGUGUCUGAAUGUACUACAGGUAAAUUAACAGUGAUGAAGUAAAAUGAGCAAUACAAUGUAGUUGUACGUAGUAGUAGUAAAACUUAUUCACCCUAAUUACUUUAUAUAAUGAAUUAUUAUUAAUUAAAGUUGAAUGGUUGUGUGUGAUGUGAGGUGCUAGGUAUAGGUAGGUUUUGAAACGUAAGUGUUGAAAUUGAAUGUGUUUUGUUGUGUAGUGAAAAUGAUGGCAGGCAUGAUGAGACGAGUAUUAAUUAAAAGACAUCAAGUAUUUAAUGAAGCAUCUGAGAUUGUGUACUGCAUGAAACAAGGGGGGUGUAGAAAGUAGAAAUGGAUUCUUUUACUAGUACUCACUCACUACUACGUGUGUAAAUAAUGUCUCAGAUUUGUGUGUUUUAGUGUAAAGUAUUUAUGGAGCUUAUAAAGUUGUUGAAAAUUCAGAAACUAUGUUUAGAAAAUGAAAUGUGUGAAAGAGAAAAGAGAAAGAUUAAAUGACGACUAUCUGACAUAUCUUGGGAAAUGAAAUCAAACUCAGUACACAGACACACCUGCUACUCGGGGAACGUUUCAUACCCAUUUUCUUUUC